UUCUUGUUUGCAUUUUAUACAGAAAUGCCUGAAUCUCUGACUGCUGCACAGUAAUCCAGCUGACUGCUGUUUGGAUAGUAAGAGGCUGGUUCUGCAUUGCCUGUCAGAUUGUUCAUGUUGAGGAGAGCCUCAACAACACUUCUGUAGCCAAGUCGGUUCAACAUUUCUGUCUGAAAAGAGAAGCAGUGCUCCAUCCUGACAGUGCCACAUGUGCUUCAGAACCUGACUGGAAAAUGAACCCAACCUGGGAGAGAAGAUGUGAGACAAUCAGCUAACAACACAAAGGACUGAACAACUGCAUAUACUGUCAGUAUUUACCAUACAUUUAAAAUGACCAAAAUAUGACAAAAAUAUGAAACUUAUAAAAAUAAUUAUAACUUUUCUUAAUCAGCUGUCUUUCCACAGUUGUACACCCUGCUUCUAUGCACAAGAGUGAUAAUUCUUUGUAAAAUUCACCACUAGAGGUGGUGAAAUUCACCACUAAAGGAAACUUUAUACAGAACUAUCAUCAUUGUUAAAUCCUGAAUCCAUGUUUAUUUAAUAUCCUGGUUUGUAUGUGCACAUGUAUUAGUUUGUGAAGAACUAUGUGUUUUCCCUCCCUCAUCCAUUCAGACUGAGAACAUUAUUGAGGUAAACAAAAAGCAACAAUCAAACAACAACAACAAAAACAUAUUUCAGGUACUUCAGAAUGUAGUAAUUACACUUUAUUUCACUUUUGGAUUUUAACAUUUUUGGAUUUCAAUUCAAAAGAAAAAUCAGUGUCAAGAUGAAGGCUUGACAUAAGCUUUCUAAGAAGUGAUUCUUUGCAACAACAGCAGUGAAUGAACACUAUUCUAAGUCAGAAAAAAAGAAUAAAGUGAGGAUCAUACCAAAGAAGUAUUCCAAUAGGAAUUAUGUAAAAUCGUAUAAAACCAUUUUCUUUUAUUCAAACAAAUAGCUCAUUCAGGUGUGAUGAAAGUGUGCUCUUAAAAAAUAAGGCUGAAGGUAAAUUGUGAGGUAGGAAAAUGUUGAGUUUAGUUAGCUCAACAUUUACUUUGUAGGCUGAAGACUUUAAAAGUCAACAGAUUUCUUGCUUCUCUCUGGAGAGAUUUAGAUUUCCCUAGUUCUCUCCAUCCUUCAAAUUCUACUUUGAAGCAGAUGUAUACUUUUUAUUUUGGCUGCCAGCCAUAGUAAAACUUGAAAUAGAUAUCUAACUUAUGUGAUUCUUUCAAUGAAUCUGUUUCUUUUAUUAUUAGUAAACAUUCCACAUUAACCCAGGCUUUAGGUGUAGGAAGUGGGAAAUAAAUUUUGUAUAGGAGAUUACUGGGUUUUGUCCUUUGAUGGUAAAGAACAAUUUUCAGACUGGAAAGCAAGGUAGGCUUGUGCCUUUGAGCUAAUGGGGAUAGAGCUUUACCAAAAUAUUUUUCUCACUUUUAAUCUCAUUAAUCAUGCUUUAAAUCUUAUCUGUGCUCCAUCAUAAGUGGGCUGAAUGUUCUGCCAUUAGCACACUUUCUACUGACUUCUAAGCAGUCAGUUGUACAAGUCCACAUCAAUCAUGCUGUCUGCUAAUAGUGGUAGUCUUGCUAACUCUGUUUUCUGGGUUGUAACUAGAGAGGAAUUCAGUAGAAACAACAAGGAACAAGGUGAACUGAUUUGUUACUUUUUCUUUUAGAUAGGUUUUUGUUUGCUUAUAUAAGAAGGCCUUGUUAAAAAGAGAAAAUGUUUGGACAUUGCUCUAUACUGUAAACAGUCAAUCACUUGCCACGUGAUCUUAUGGGAAAGUACCUCCUUGAACACUGAGAGCUUUCUUUUAGUUGCUAAAAGUCGUAACAGAAAUGCAGGUAGGAUUAUAUAUAUAUAUAGCCUCACAUCGGUUCAGAAACCAUACCCACAAACCAUGCCUCACAACUAAUUGAAAAGGAGAAGGAUCUGGGAACAUUAUUUUAUGGGAGUGGAGAGAAGCUGAGGAGGAUGACGGACAAAUAUCAUUAUGGGGUGAAAUCUCAAAGGAAAGGAACCACCAGCAAUAGCUGUCUAAGAUCUUUCCUCAAGUCCUGUGCAAAUGGUGAUAAAUGGAUUAACAUUUAAUGUCCAGUGAAAUUUAAUUAAUUAUAGUCUCUUUCAUAGCUGAGUGAUUAUAAAACAUUUUGUCAGUUGUUUGUUCCGCCAUUAGAUCUCACCUUAAAACACCAUGUACAUAGAUAAAAUAAUUCUAAGAGCUUCAUUUUACUCUUCUGCCCUGUAAGUAGAAAUGGUGUCACACUACAAAGCAGAUGACCCCUGUACAAUUGCAAUUGUAAUGGCCUUCAAAAAAUUGCCUGAAUUACUGAAACCUUUGCCAGAGCUUUUCAGGAGAAUGUGAUGAGAAUAAAAUAAACGAAAAACUGAUUAGAUGUUUGCAAA